CACUACCAAAAUAACUAAUAGGUACUAACCUAUUUUAUAAAAUAACAACAAAAGAAAGUUAAAAAUAAAUUAUUUAAAACCUAAAAGUCGCGCAAUAAGGUUGAACACUCUGAACGUCUAUUCGCAUCAAUCGCACCAAGAGCCAAAUAUUGUAUGAAACUCGCGCAGCCACCGCGCCGCGAGCCGCGUCAACCGCGGCGACAGUUGCACAAAAAUGAUCCUUAUAGCGUGAUUCAGUAUUCACGCGCGAUGGCUUAUCCGUUUUUCAUGUAUAACUUUGGUGUUUCUUCACCGAUUUAUAUGAAUCUUUUUUUAAUGAAUAGGUAAUACUAUUAACUAUUUUUAAUUAGUGUAAGUGAGAGUGUUAUAAACGUAAUAGUAGACAAAUAUAAUCAGAAAACUCCGAACUGCUAAGCUACCGAGAGUUUUACGUGUUAUUGUGAGUCAACCAUAAAAGAUAGAUAUAUACUGUCAUGGGAUAUUUUUUACAUAAUUUUAUGAAGAACAUUUCCGUCAUACAUGGUUUCUGUGUAGCUGUAAACAUUAGGGCUGCACACGCGACGGAAUCUUAAAAAAUGGAGUAACUUCUCCCGUUUUCCCAACAUUUACCUUCACUGCUCUGCUCCUAUUAAUCGUAGCGUGAUGCAAAGUAUCCUAUAACCUGCCCAGGAGUAUGAAGAAUCAUUGUACCAAGUUUCAUUGAAAUCCGUCAAACAGACAGACAGACAGACAGACAGACAGACAAAAAUUUUUCUGAUUGCAUUUUUGGCAUCAGUAUCGAUCACUAAUCACCCCCUAAUAGUUAUUUUGGAAAUAUAUUCAAUGUACAGAAUUGACCUCUCUACAGAUUUAUUAUAAGUAUAGAAGAU
rnacentral:lncRNA from 1 species